GCAAGCUCCAGGCUUUGGUUUUCGCUGCUGCUGGCGGCAGCGUUGGCAGGACGGGCGACGGCCCUCUGGCCCUGGCCUCAGAACAUCCAAACCUCCGACCAGCGCUACGUCCUUUACCCGAACAACUUUCAAUUCCAGUACGAUGUCAGCUCGGCCGCGCAGCCCGGCUGCUCAGUCCUCGACGAGGCCUUCCAGCGCUAUCGUGACCUGCUUUUCGGUUCCGGGUCUUGGCCCCGUCCUUACCUCACAGGAAAACGGCAUACACUGGAGAAGAAUGUGUUGGUUGUCUCUGUAGUCACACCUGGAUGUAACCAGCUUCCUACUUUGGAGUCGGUGGAGAAUUAUACCCUGACCAUAAAUGAUGACCAGUGUUUACUCCUCUCUGAGACUGUCUGGGGAGCUCUCCGAGGUAACAAAUUGGGGCUGAUUAAAAGAGAGAGAGAAAGGAUGAUGUGGGAAGGUUGGUGUUGGUGGAGUGCAGUGUCCCAGUCCCUGCUCACUGCAACCUCUGCCUCCUAGGCUCA
rnacentral:sRNA from 1 species